rnacentral:rRNA from 1 species
CUGUACUUAGCCCCCAUAAAUAUAAUACAACUAUAAGAUAAACAUAAAACAAAACAUUUAUUACGUACAAUAGUAUAGGAGAUAGAAAAUUUUUAUAGGCGCUAUAGAGAAAGUACCGUAAGGGAACAAUGAAAGAAUAUACCAAAGCAACAAAUAGCAAAGCUUACCCCUUGUACCUUUUGCAUAAUGACUUAACCAGACAUGACUUAGCAAAGAGAACUUAAGUUAAUACCCCCGAAACCAGACGAGCUAUUUAUAAGCAGCUUCACAGAGCAAACUCAUCUAUGUGGCAAAAUAGUGAGAAGACUUAUAGAUAGAGGUGAAAAGCCUAUCGAGCCUGGUGAUAGCUGGUUGUCCAAUAAAGAAUUUCAGUUCAAACUUAAACUUACCUAUAAAAAUACUAAUUUUAAUGUAAGCUUAAGACAUAGUCUGAAGGGGGACAGCCCUCCAGACAUAGGCUAAACCUUUACUAGAGAGUAAGCAUAUUAAUAUACCAUAGUGGGCCUAAAAGCAGCCAUCAAUAAAGAAAGCGUUCAAGCUCAACAAUACCAUCACUUUAAUCCCUACAUUCUUAUACCCAACUCCUAGAACUUAAAAUUGGACUACUCUAUAACUAUAUAGAAGAACUACUGUUAAUAUGAGUAACAAGAAUUCAAUUCUCCUAGCACAAGUGUAUACCAGAACGAAUCAUCACUGGUAAUUAACGAGCAUAAAACAAACCAACCAACAAGAUCUUUUCUCCACUAACGUUAAUCCAACACAGGAGUGCUUUAAAGGAAAGAUUAAAAGGAGUAAAAGGAACUCGGCAAACACAAACCCCGCCUGUUUACCAAAAACAUCACCUCUAGCAUCCCUAGUAUUAGAGGCACUGCCUGCCCAGUGACAUACGUUCAACGGCCGCGGUAUCCUGACCGUGCAAAGGUAGCAUAAUCACUUGUUCUCUAAAUAAGGACUUGUAUGAAUGGCCACACGAGGGUUUUACUGUCUCUUUCUCCCAAUCAGUGAAAUUGACUUCCCCGUGAAGAGGCGGGGAUACAAUAAUAAGACGAGAAGACCCUAUGGAGCUUUAAUUAAUUAGUCUACAGCUAAAACACUAUACACCAAUAGGAAUAACACAUCUUACUUCUAGACUAACAAUUUAGGUUGGGGUGACCUCGGAGUAUAAAAAACCCUCCGAGUAAUUUUAAACUUAGACCUACCAGUCAAAGUUCAACUAUAUAAUUGAUCCAUUACCUUAAUGAUCAACGAAACAAGUUACCCUAGGGAUAACAGCGCGAUCCUAUUCAAGAGUUCCUAUCGACAAUAGGGUUUACGACCUCGAUGUUGGAUCAGGACAUCCUGAUGGUGCAGCAGCUAUCAAUGGUUCGUUUGUUCAACGAUUAAAGUCCUACGUGAUCUGAGUUCAGACCGGAGUAAUCCAGGUCGGUUUCUAUCUAUUUUCUAUGCUUCUCCCAGUACGAAAGGACAAGAGAAGCAGGGCCACCUUAAAAUAAGUGCCCUCCAAUAAACCAGAUGAACCUAAUCUCAAUCUGUUACAUAAUAGAAAUACACUGCCCAAGACCAGGGCUC